CAUCCGGCUGAACCUGUCCUGCAUCCGCGCGUUAAUACGGAAGCGUGCGCACGCAGUUAAUCGUAAAUUAUCUGGGCGUGAAACGACACGCAGACGUUCUGCUAAAGUCGGAUCGUUGAAAUUCCCCGGGCUCAACCUGGCAAAUGCCAUUCGAAACAUGCCAGGCUUGACUUCUCGUAGAGGGGGGGUAGAUUCAGGUGUAGCGGUGAAAUGCGUAGAGAUCUGAGGAAUACCGGUGGCGAAGGCGGCCCCUGGCGAAGACUGACGUUCAGGUGCGAAAGCGUGGGGAGCAAACAGGAUUAGAUACCUGGUAGUCCACGCCGUAAACGAUGUCGACCUGGAGGUUGUGCCCCUUGAGGCGUGGCUUCCGGAGCUAACCCGUUAAGUCGACCGCCUGGGGAGUACGGCCGCAAGGUUAAAACUCAAAUGAAUUGACGGGGGCCCGCACAAGCGGUGGAGCAUGUGGUUUAAUUCGAUGCAACGCGAAGAACCUUACCUGGUCUUGACAUCCACAGAACUUGGCAGAGAUGCCUUGGUGCCUUCGGGAACUGUGAGACAGGUGCUGCAUGGCUGUCGUCAGCUCGUGUUGUGAAAUGUUGGGUUAAGUCCCGCAACGAGCGCAACCCUUAUCCUUUGUUGCCAGCGGUUAGGCCGGGAACUCAAAGGAGACUGCCAGUGAUAAACUGGAGGAAGGUGGGGAUGACGUCAAGUCAUCAUGGCCCUUACGUCCAGGGCUACACACGUGCUACAAUGGCGCAUACAAAGAGAAGCAAUCUCGCGAGAGCUAGCGGACCUCAUAAAGUGCGUCGUAGGGGGGAUUGGAGUCUGCAACAUUUAUCCAUAGCAAAAAGUAAAAUUUAAUCUUGAAUCAGAAUGUCACGGUGAAUACGAAACCGGGCCUUGUCUUCCGCCCGUCCCACCAGGGAAUGGUGAAAGAAGAGGUUUUUUACGUUCG
rnacentral:rRNA from 1 species